rnacentral:rRNA from 1 species
CCUACGGGCGGCAGCAGUGGGGAAUAUUGGACAAUGGGGGCAACCCUGAUCCAGCCAUGCCGCGUGUGUGAAGAAGGCCCUCGGGUUGUAAAGCACUUUCAGUGAGGAAGAACGCCUGGUGGUUAAUACCCAUCAGGAAAGACAUCACUCACAGAAGAAGCACCGGCUAACUCCGUGCCAGCAGCCGCGGUAAUACGGAGGGUGCGAGCGUUAAUCGGAAUUACUGGGCGUAAAGCGCGCGUAGGUGGCUUGAUAAGCCGGUUGUGAAAGCCCCGGGCUCAACCUGGGAACGGCAUCCGGAACUGGCAACCUAGAGUGCGGGAGAGGAAGGUAGAAUUCCCGGUGUAGCGGUGAAAUGCGUAGAGAUCGGGAGGAAUACCAGUGGCGAAGGCGGCCUUCUGGACUGACACUGACACUGAGGUGCGAAAGCGUGGGUAGCAAACAGGAUUAGAUACCCUAGUAGUC